GGACGGCAGCGCGGGGGCAACCCUGGCGGCGAGUGGCGAACGGGUGAGUAAUACAUCGGAACGUGUCCAGUAGUGGGGGAUAGCCCGGCGAAAGCCGGAUUAAUACCGCAUACGAUCUCUGGAUGAAAGCGGGGGACCGAAAGGCCUCGCGCUAUUGGGGCGGCCGAUGGCGGAUUAGCUGGAUGGUGGGGUAAAGGCCUACCAUGGCGACGAUCCGUAGCUGGUCUGAGAGGACGACCAGCCACACUGGGACUGAGACACGGCCCAGACUCCUACGGGAGGCAGCAGUGGGGAAUUUUGGACAAUGGGCGAAAGCCUGAUCCAGCAAUGCCGCGUGUGUGAAGAAGGCCUUCGGGUUGUAAAGCACUUUUGUCCGGGAAGAAAGCAUCCUCGCCAAUACCGGGGGUGGAUGACGUACUCGGAAGAAUAAGCACCGGCUAACUACGUGCCAGCAGCCGCGGUAAU
rnacentral:rRNA from 1 species